AUUAUGACAUGCAUCUUAACAUUUAUAUAAAUAUAUAUCAUAACCUAAAUAUAAAUAAUUUAAAAACUUAAAUUAGAAAAAAAUAAAAAAUCCCGGGCGUAGCCCGGGUUAAUCCCUAGUCUUUAUAAAUAAAGUAGAGUUUGGUCCCUCCACAGACAUCCACGUCGACAAAGAGGGAUGGACGUUUUUUGACACGUGUAGCUUCCUAAUUCUUCAACAAACAAUUUCCGUGAACAAAAGCUAUUUGGCAUGUGGGCUUAUCGAUACUUCUUGUCCUUUUGUUCAGGCCCACUGUAAUGUCCGUUUCACCACCUUACGAAGAUCAACCUAGAGAACAACCCCGUCCGAUGAAUUUCCUGUAUCCGAGCAUUUUCCUUUCGAUAUCUAGGGUUCAUAUUCAUCGUCUUUUUCGAUCUCUAACAUCCUCUUCUUUAUCUUCUUCACUUCAUCAGUUUACGCUUGAUUCGUCACCGUACGUCCAUCUACUACCGAUCUCAUCUCCGAUGGAAUUGACUGUGGAAGUCUCGGCUCUGGAUCUGUUAUCAAGACGGUGGUCUCGGAUGAAGAGAAAGAGGAAGCUUGGUAACGUGUUUUUAAUUUGGUUUAUGGAUUUCUCAUGUUCACGGCAGCUAUGUAUCUAUCUGCCGAAAGUGAGAUCCUGCCCUUGAAUCGUCGGUGGUUUGUUUUUUUCCAUGCUCGGAGCACAGCCUGAAGCUAUACUUAUUAUGGGUAGGUGAAAAUGUAGAUUCUUUAUUGAACUUUGAGUUAUAAAAAGUGAAUCGUUGUUUGGUUCUGCGAAUCAAAUAGUGAGUAGCGAAGAUACUUUGAUGUGUAACUUUAUAUGUGAGAGAUUGAAAGUGAAUCUUUGUUUAGUCAAUGAGUCAAUUUUUUCUCUGUCAAUAUAACUUUUUCCUGUAAAGUUUGAGAUUUGCUCUUUUGGGUUUUGAAUCUUUUGGUGUUUGUUUAAAUGUCUGGACUUUCUGGAGAUGUAGCAACUGCGCAAAGCCAAGCCUCUGUGGGAAUGGGUUUACUCGCUGGGCUCAACCUUUAUGGUUCUCACUGUUAUUUAGGGAACUUGCACAGUUUUUAGCAAGUGUGACAUUCGUUAUGCUAUUGUUGUAAACAACCAAGACACUAAAAGGCUUCCAUAUAAGUAAGAUUCUGGUGUUAGUGUUGAUAUUUGGACCAGCUAUGCUGUGAGAAUAAUGGCUAUAUCGGUUUUCCCGUUUGUCAUUGUCUAGCUUCCUUUAGUGUUGAACUCAACUUCUGGAAGACACUUGGCCCUGUUGGUUGCUUUAAUCGCUCAGCUCUAAUGUAAAGCUCGCGGAUCCACACUUAUAAAUAAGCGACUUCUAUUCUGUGCAGUUCAUCACUUUCUUCUUCUACAUCAUUGUAAUCUUCACAAACCCAUCAAUCCGGAAUGACGAACUCUUCUAAUCUGCUCGCCGACUUGAAGGCAGGACAUUGUAGCACAACCGUCGAAGUCCGGUUGCUGAGAAUUUGGGAAGCCCAUAAUUGAAAAAGGAGGCAAAGUUCAAGCUCAUAUUUCAUCUACGCUGUUGUUGUUACGCGAAGCAAUAACAAUUUCAAGCUCUCUACUUCUCCUCUUUCGAUAUGAUCCAAUGAUCAGAUCGCGUUUGCUGAGAGCUAACCGAUCUGGAUAAUCCAAUACCAACGGACGUGCUCAGAUUCCGCAAUCAUAAUCAUUUAAUACGUUUGACAAAAAAAAAUCAUUUAAUACGAUUAUUAAAUUAUAACUAAUGUCAGGAUGAGCUUACUUUGCUUUUUCGUGUAUUGUAUUUGUACCUAUGAGAUUCUUUUUUUGUCAAAUAUGUAUCUUUAAUCUUU